rnacentral:rRNA from 1 species
CACGUAGGAGGCAAGCGUUAUCCGGAUUUACUGGGCGUAAAGCGCGUGCAGGCGGUUCAGAAAGUUGGAUGUGAAAGCUCCUGGCUUAACUGGGAGAGGUCGUUCAAUACUUCUGGACUAGAGUAUGGGAGAGGGAGGUGGAAUUCCGGGUGUGGUGGUGAAAUGUGUAGAUAUCCGGAGGAACACCAGUGGCGAAAGCGGCCUCCUGGCCCAAAACUGACGCUCAGACGCGAAAGCUAGGGUAGCAAACGGG